GUGGGGAAUCUUGCGCAAUGGGCGAAAGCCUGACGCAGCCAUGCCGCGUGAAUGAUGAAGGUCUUAGGAUUGUAAAAUUCUUUCCCCGGGGACGAUAAUGACGGUACCCGGAGAAGAAGCUCCGGCUAACUUCGUGCCAGCAGCCGCGGUAAUACGAAGGGGGCUAGCGUUGCUCGGAAUUACUGGGCGUAAAGGGCGCGUAGGCGGACAGCUUAGUCAGAGGUGAAAGCCCAGGGCUCAACCUUGGAAUUGCCUUUGAUACUGGCUGUCUUGAGUUUGGGAGAGGUGAGUGGAACUCCGAGUGUAGAGGUGAAAUUCGUAGAUAUUCGGAAGAACACCAGUGGCGAAGGCGACUCACUGGCCCAAUACUGACGCUGAGGCGCGAAAGCGUGGGGAGCAAACAGGAUUAGAAACCCUGGUAGUCC
rnacentral:rRNA from 1 species